rnacentral:rRNA from 1 species
UACAGAGGUCUCAAGCGUUGUUCGGAUUCAUUGGGCGUAAAGCGCACGUAGGCGGUUCGUUAUGUCGGAUGUGAAAGCCCUUGGCUUAACCGAGGAAGUGCAUCCGAAACUGGCGAGCUAGAGUACGAAAGAGGAUCGCGGAAUUCCCGGUGUAGAGGUGAAAUUCGUAGAUAUCGGGAGGAACACCGGUGGCGAAGGCGGCGAUCUGGGUCGAUACUGACGCUGAGGUGCGAAAGCGUGGGGAGCAAACAGG